AAAAAGAGAAACCCUGAAUUUCCGUGUUCAACAUUUGACCGUCCGUCUUAUUUGAAAAAAAUAUAAAAAAAAUUAAAAAGACAAGUCACGUAUAAAGUAUUAAUCAUGUUUUAUCAUCUAACAAUAAUGAAAAUACUAAUUAUAAAAAAUUCAUAUAAGACGGACAGUCAAACAUUGGACACGGAAAUCCAGGGUUUGUUUUUUU
rnacentral:pre_miRNA from 1 species